GACGAACGCUGGCGGCGUGCUUAACACAUGCAAGUCGAACGGAAAGGCCCUGCUUUUGUGGGGUGCUCGAGUGGCGAACGGGUGAGUAACACGUGAGUAACCUGCCCUUGACUUUGGGAUAACUUCAGGAAACUGGGGCUAAUACCGGAUAGGAGCUCCUGCUGCAUGGUGGGGGUUGGAAAGUUUCGGCGGUUGGGGAUGGACUCGCGGCUUAUCAGCUUGUUGGUGGGGUAGUGGCUUACCAAGGCUUUGACGGGUAGCCGGCCUGAGAGGGUGACCGGCCACAUUGGGACUGGGCUACUGCCCAGACUCCUACGGGAGGCAGCAGUGGGGAAUAUUGCACAAUGGGCGGAAGCCUGAUGCAGCAACGCCGCGUGCGGGAUGACGGCCUUCGGGUUGUAAACCGCUUUCGCCUGUGACGAAGCGUGAGUGACGGUAAUGGGUAAAGAAGCACCGGCUAACUACGUG
rnacentral:rRNA from 1 species